rnacentral:sRNA from 1 species
UCAAAAGUCAAAAGAUACCCGCAUCCGCUUCUUGCUUCUCGUAGUCUGUUGGUUGUACUCU